rnacentral:rRNA from 1 species
UGGGGAAUAUUGGACAAUGGGCGCAAGCCUGAUCCAGCCAUGCCGCGUGAGUGAUGAAGGCCCUAGGGUUGUAAAGCUCUUUCACCGGUGAAGAUAAUGACGGUAACCGGAGAAGAAGCCCCGGCUAACUUCGUGCCAGCAGCCGCGGUAAUACGAAGGGGGCUAGCGUUGUUCGGAUUUACUGGGUAAAGCGCACGUAGGCGGACUUUUAAGUCAGGGGUGAAAUCCCGGGGCUCAACCCCGGAACUGCCUUUGAUACUGGAAGUCUUGAGUAUGGUAGAGGUGAGUGGAAUUCCGAGUGUAGAGGUGAAAUUCGUAGAUAUUCGGAGGAACACCAGUGGCGAAGGCGGCUCACUGGACCAUUACUGACGCUGAGGUGCGAAAGCGUGGGGAGCAAACAGG